AGAUCUUGUAUGAAAAGGAUAUUUUUUUGUAUAUGAUUUUUAUAGUGGAUUGGUUUGUUAUCGACUUUGAUGUUACUAUUUAGCCAGAUACAUGUAGAGUUCAACUCUUCUAUAGAGUUAACCUGCGAGUUUUCCAAGUUUUGAGAAGACUAUUAAUUUCAGGAUUGUGAGGAGUUGGACGCAGAUGAUAAAUAUGUACGGGGACAGGGGAUCGCCCUGUCUACAUCCUCGACCUAGUGUGAUUGGUUCUGACAGAAAGCCAUUUUGUAUAACUCUUGAUAUAGACAGGUUGUAUAAAGUUUUGACCCAAUGUUUAAUGGAAGAUUUGAAAUUG